rnacentral:rRNA from 1 species
UGGUGGAGUGAUUUGUCUGGUUAAUUCCGUUAACGAACGAGACCUUAACCUGCUUAAUAGUUACACGUAACUUCGGUUACGUGGGCAACUUCUUAGAGGGACUUUGCGUGUCUAACGCAAGGAAGUUUGAGGCAAUAACA